CCUACGGGUGGCUGCAGUGGGGAAUAUUGGGCAAUGGGCGCAAGCCUGACCCAGCAACGCCGCGUGAAGGAAGAAGGCUUUCGGGUUGUAAACUUCUUUUCUGAGGGACGAAGAAAGUGACGGUACCUCAGGAAUAAGCCACGGCUAACUACGUGCCAGCAGCCGCGGUAAUACGUAGGUGGCAAGCGUUAUCCGGAUUUAUUGGGUUUAAAGGGUGCGUAGGCGGGUUAUCAAGUCAGCGGUAAAAUUGUGGAGCUCAACUCCAUCCAGCCGUUGAAACUGAUGAUCUUGAGUGGGCGAGAAGUAUGCGGAAUGCGUGGUGUAGCGGUGAAAUGCAUAGAUAUCACGCAGAACUCCGAUUGCGAAGGCAGCAUACCGGCGCCCGACUGACGCUGAAGCACGAAAGCGUGGGUAUCGAACAGGAUUAGAUACCCGAGUAGUC
rnacentral:rRNA from 1 species